rnacentral:rRNA from 1 species
GACGAACGCUGGCGGCGUGCCUAAUACAUGCAAGUCGAGCGGACAGAAGGGAGCUUGCUCCCGGAAGUCAGCGGCGGACGGGUGAGUAACACGUGGGCAACCUGCCUGUAAGACUGGGAUAACUUCGGGAAACCGGAGCUAAUACCGGAUAGGUUCUUCCCCCGCAUGGGGGAAGAUGGAAAGACGGUUUCGGCUGUCACUUACAGAUGGGCCCGCGGCGCAUUAGCUAGUUGGUGGGGUAAUGGCCCACCAAGGCGACGAUGCGUAGCCGACCGGGGAGGGUGAUCGGCCACACUGGGACGGAGACACGGCCCAGACUCCGACGGGAGGCAGCAGUAGGGAAUCUUCCGCAAUGGACGAAAGUCUGACGGAGCAACGCCGCGUGAGCGAAGAAGGCCUUCGGGUCGUAAAGCUCUGUUGUCAGGGAAGAACAAGUGCCAGAGUAACUGCUGGCACCUUGACGGUACCUGACCAGAAAGCCACGGCUAACUACGUGCCAGCAGCCGCCGUAAUAC